UACGUAGGGGGCAAGCGUUGUCCGGAAUCAUUGGGCGUAAAGAGCGUGUAGGCGGCCCGGUAAGUCCGCUGUGAAAGUCCAGGGCUCAACCCUGGAAUGCCGGUGGAAACUGUCGGGCUAGAGUCCGGAAGAGGCGAGUGGAAUUCCUGGUGUAGCGGUGAAAUACGUAGAUAUCAGGAGGAAUACCGGUGGCGAAGGCGGCUACCUGGCUCAAUACUGACGCUGAGAUGCGAAAGCGUGGGGAUCAAACAGG
rnacentral:rRNA from 1 species